rnacentral:rRNA from 1 species
UUAAGUUAGAAAGGGCGCACGGUGGAUGCCUUGGCACUAGGAGCCGAUGAAGGACGGGACGAACACCGAUAUGCUUCGGGGAGCUGUAAGCAAGCUUUGAUCCGGAGAUUUCCGAAUGGGGAAACCCACCACUCGUAAUGGAGUGGUAUCCAUAUCUGAAUACAUAGGAUAUGAGAAGGCAGACCCGGGGAACUGAAACAUCUAAGUACCCGGAGGAAGAGAAAGCAAAUGCGAUUCCCUGAGUAGCGGCGAGCGAAACGGGACCAGCCCAAACCAAGAGGCUUGCCUCUUGGGGUUGUAGGACACUCUGUACGGAGUUACAAAGGAACGAGGUAGAUGAAGAGGUCUGGAAAGGCCCGCCAUAGGAGGUAACAGCCCUGUAGUCAAAACUUCGUUCUCUCCUGAGUGGAUCCUGAGUACGGCGGAACACGUGAAAUUCCGUCGGAAUCCGGGAGGACCAUCUCCCAAGGCUAAAUACUCCCUAGUGACCGAUAGUGAACCAGUACCGUGAGGGAAAGGUGAAAAGCACCCCGGAAGGGGAGUGAAAGAGAUCCUGAAACCGUGUGCCUACAAGUAGUCAGAGCCCGUUAACGGGUGAUGGCGUGCCUUUUGUAGAAUGAACCGGCGAGUUACGAUCCCGUGCAAGGUUAAGCAGAAGAUGCGGAGCCGCAGCGAAAGCGAGUCUGAAUAGGGCGAAUUGAGUACGUGGUCGUAGACCCGAAACCAGGUGAUCUACCCAUGUCCAGGGUGAAGUUCAGGUAACACUGAAUGGAGGCCCGAACCCACGCACGUUGAAAAGUGCGGGGAUGAGGUGUGGGUAGGGGUGAAAUGCCAAUCGAACCUGGAGAUAGCUGGUUCUCUCCGAAAUAGCUUUAGGGCUAGCCUCAAGGUAAGAGUCUCGGAGGUAGAGCACUGAUUGGACUAGGGGCCCCUACCGGGUUACCGAAUUCAGUCAAACUCCGAAUGCCGAUGACUUAUCCUUGGGAGUCAGACUGCGAGUGAUAAGAUCCGUAGUCAAAAGGGAAACAGCCCAGACCGCCAGCUAAGGUCCCAAAGUAUACGUUAAGUGGAAAAGGAUGUGGAGUUGCUUAGACAACCAGGAUGUUGGCUUAGAAGCAGCCACCAUUUAAAGAGUGCGUAAUAGCUCACUGGUCGAGUGACUCUGCGCCGAAAAUGUACCGGGGCUAAACGUAUCACCGAAGCUGCGGACUGUUCUUCGAACAGUGGUAGGAGAGCGUUCUAAGGGCUGUGAAGCAAGACCGGAAGGACUUGUGGAGCGCUUAGAAGUGAGAAUGCCGGUAUGAGUAGCGAAAGAGGGGUGAGAAUCCCCUCCACCGAAUGCCUAAGGUUUCCUGAGGAAGGCUCGUCCGCUCAGGGUUAGUCGGGACCUAAGCCGAGGCCGAAAGGCGUAGGCGAUGGAUAACAGGUUGAUAUUCCUGUACCACCUCCUCACCAUUUGAGCAAUGGGGGGACGCAGGAGGAUAGGGUAAGCGCGGUAUUGGAUAUCCGCGUCCAAGCAGUUAGGCUGGGAAAUAGGCAAAUCCGUUUCCCGUGAAGGCUGAGCUGUGAUGGCGAGCGAAUUAUAGUAGCGAAGUUCCUGAUUCCACACUGCCAAGAAAAGCCUCUAGCGAGGUGAGAGGUGCCCGUACCGCAAACCGACACAGGUAGGCGAGGAGAGAAUCCUAAGGUGAUCGAGAGAACUCUCGUUAAGGAACUCGGCAAAAUGACCCCGUAACUUCGGGAGAAGGGGUGCUCUGUUAGGGUGCAAGCCCGAGAGAGCCGCAGUGAAUAGGCCCAGGCGACUGUUUAGCAAAAACACAGGUCUCUGCGAAGCCGUAAGGCGAAGUAUAGGGGCUGACGCCUGCCCGGUGCUGGAAGGUUAAGAGGAGCGCUUAGCGUAAGCGAAGGUGCGAAUUGAAGCCCCAGUAAACGGCGGCCGUAACUAUAACGGUCCUAAGGUAGCGAAAUUCCUUGUCGGGUAAGUUCCGACCCGCACGAAAGGCGCAACGAUCUGGGCACUGUCUCAACGAGAGACUCGGUGAAAUUAUAGUACCUGUGAAGAUGCAGGUUACCCGCGACAGGACGGAAAGACCCCGUGGAGCUUUACUGCAGCCUGAUAUUGAAUGUUGGUACAGCUUGUACAGGAUAGGUAGGAGCCUUGGAAAUCGGAGCGCCAGCUUCGGUGGAGGCAUCGGUGGGAUACUACCCUGGCUGUAUUGACCUUCUAACCCGCCGCCCUUAUCGGGCGGGGAGACAGUGUCAGGUGGGCAGUUUGACUGGGGCGGUCGCCUCCUAAAAGGUAACGGAGGCGCCCAAAGGUUCCCUCAGAAUGGUUGGAAAUCAUUCGCAGAGUGUAAAGGCACAAGGGAGCUUGACUGCGAGACCUACAAGUCGAGCAGGGACGAAAGUCGGGCUUAGUGAUCCGGUGGUUCCGCAUGGAAGGGCCAUCGCUCAACGGAUAAAAGCUACCCCGGGGAUAACAGGCUUAUCUCCCCCAAGAGUCCACAUCGACGGGGAGGUUUGGCACCUCGAUGUCGGCUCAUCGCAUCCUGGGGCUGUAGUCGGUCCCAAGGGUUGGGCUGUUCGCCCAUUAAAGCGGUACGCGAGCUGGGUUCAGAACGUCGUGAGACAGUUCGGUCCCUAUCCGUCGCGGGCGCAGGAAAUUUGAGAGGAGCUGUCCUUAGUACGAGAGGACCGGGAUGGACGCACCGCUGGUGUACCAGUUGUUCUGCCAAGGGCAUCGCUGGGUAGCUAUGUGCGGACGGGAUAAGUGCUGAAAGCAUCUAAGCAUGAAGCCCCCCUCAAGAUGAGAUUUCCCAUUCCGCAAGGAAGUAAGAUCCCUGAAAGAUGAUCAGGUUGAUAGGUCUGAGGUGGAAGUGUGGCGACACAUGGAGCUGACAGAUACUAAUCGAUCGAGGACUUAACCAA